CAUGUGGGAUGUAUUUCCCUGGUUAAAUGAAGUACACUAUAUAGUGAAUGGGGGGCCAUGUGGGAUGUAUUUCCCUGGUUAAAUCCAGUACACUAUAUAGUGAAUGGGGGGCCAUGUGUGAUGUAUUUCCCUGGUUAAAUACAGUACACUAUAUAGUGAAUGGGGGGCCAUGUGUGAUGUAUUUCCCUGGUUAAAUGCAGUACACUAUAUAGUGAAUGGGGGGCCAUGUGGGAUGUAUUUCCCUGGUUAAAUCCAGUACACUAUAUAGUGAAUGGGGGGCCAUGUGUGACUCUCCCUGUCUACCGAACGUUUAGUCACGGGACUGGUGGCACGACGCUUCGUGUUUCAGAGGCUUAAAAAAGCAGAACGGAAUCUAAAAUACGGAACUUUACACAAGUCUUCCAGUCAAACUAAAAUACCAAAGAAAGGAACAUGAAAAACAGUCUCAGAAAUGUGUUUUAAAGGGGCUGUUCACGCUAAAAAAACAGGUUAUUUACAUGUCUCAGAAAUGUGUUUUAAAGGGGCUGUUCAUGCUAAAAACAGGUUAUUUACAUGUCUCAGAAAUGUGUUUUAAAGGGGCUGUUCACUCUAAAAACAGGUUAUUUACAUGUCUCAGAAAUGUGUUUUAAAGGGGCUGUUCACUCUAAAAACAGGUUAUUUACAUGUCUCAGAAAUGUGUAUUAAAGGGACUGUUUCUCAGAUGUUUUAAUGUCUCAGAAAAUGUCAUGUCUGAUGUCAAGUAGAGUCAAAGAUAUUUAAUAUAGAUUCUAUAUAAGGAGAAUAUGUAUUAGGAGAAAUCAAAGCCGAAAUGGAGAAACAUUGGUACUGUAACAUUUUUUUUAGGGUGAACUAUCCCUUUAAGAUAUGAAUGUAUGUGCAUAUGAAACUAUCGUGUCUUUAAAGGUACAGUAGCUAUAUUUAUAUUGUAAACUAUGUUGUACUUAAUGUACAUAGAAAUUUCUGUUUUAUAUAAGAGGCUAUCUGUAUUUAUUUUUAAUGUAAUUUUAAGGCUUCAUGUAUUUAUGCUGAAAUAAACUCCUUAUAUUUUA